ensembl:lncRNA
CAGCUUCCAGGAACACCGUCACUUCCAGAACCAACUGCUCAGAGCCUGAAUGCAGAGACCAAACCCAACUCCAACACAUCUUCCAGCUAUUCUCAGACAUGGAGAUGUGCGCAACCCAAAGCUGACUUCCCUACAGCAUGAUUCCCCUGUCAGCAGUUUCUCACACACUAAAGAGUCUUAGAAUGCAGGCAAAGCAUGGUUAUGGAAACUGUUGGGACCGUAGUUCAAGACACCCUGUCCACCUCUGUACAUAAAAGCAGAUUGUAUGCACAUAGAGGGGACUAGAUAGUGCCAGACCCCUCUCAAGGCAACUUCGUCAACUUCAGUAUUUGUGUGAUGCAAAGGAGGAUACAGUUGAGAAGACAGCACGAUGCUGGACUAUUUCAACAUGGAGGUCCACAACAGAAGAGACUGUCAGGUAUAUGGAGAAGAAAAGAGAUACUGGAACAG